GGGGCGGGGCCGCACCACAGAGCGCGGCCGGGUGCGGCGAGAGCGCCCGCCACCCGCCAUAGAGAGCGCCCCGCGGGGCAGAGAGACGCACCCCCGCCCGACGGAGAGCGCGAGGAGCGGAGUAGAGCGCCCCCAAGCCUCGGCGCUGGUGACGAGAGACUGCAUCCGACUGGAGGAUACAGAAUUAGCCCUGGGAAAGGCCUUGCUGGUGGCUCCAGUGCCUCAGGGCUCUGAGGUCAGCAGCACAUUGCCAUGCAAGGAGGAAAGCGACUCCGCAUCCGAUAUCUGCAUCCUCCAUCAGGCUCACUCGUCCCCUCUGCCAGGGCAUGCAAGGAAUCAGCCUCUCCUUCCAGCUCCUGGCAUUUCUUGGAGGUGGCAUUGCUGGUGCUGAUGUCAAGUGGUGUUCUGUGAUGUGCAGUGCACACGAGGGUUUAUCUCUACACGUGGCACAGGGAAAGGCAGCUGUUUACGGGAAAGGUAGCAGUUUCCACAAGAGCCACCUGAAUCACAGAUGGCCGAGCAGAUGGGGGGACAUUCCUGGAAAAGGGUCCUAGGGCAGGAAUUCUGGAAAACUUCAGAGUGAGUGUAGGAACCGUUUUCUUUUGAUGCACCCCAGCCCAACCUGAGUGCCACUGGCUAGGCCAACUCAACCCAACCCAAUGGGAAUGAUGGGAAUGACCGGAUGGGAAUGACCCAACAGGACACUGCUCCGCCAGAAUGAUAGAACCCAAUCCAAUGGGAAUGACCCAACGCAAAACUACUCAGUCUGAGUGACACAGUCCAAACCAAUGGAAAUGACCCAACAAGUCACUGCUCAGUUGGAAUGACACAAUCCAACCCAAUGGGAGUGAUGGAACCUAACCCAAUGAGAACUACCCAAAGGAACAUUGCUCGGCUGGGUGAGACAAUGCAACACAAUGGGAAUGACCCAAUGGAACACUGCUCAGCCUAAGUGACACAACCCAAACCAAAAGGAAUGACCCAAUGGAACACUGCUCAGCCUAAGUGACACAACCCAAACCAAAAGGAAUGACCCAAUGGAACACUGCUCAGCUGGACGAGACAAUACAACACAAUGGAAAUGAUGGAAUCCAGCCCAAUGUGAAUGACCCAACAGAAUACUGCUCAGCUGGAUGAGACAACCCAACCCAAUGGGAAUGACCCAACAGAACACUGCUCAGCCUGAGUGAUGCAACUCAAGCCAAGAGAAAUGGUAGAAGCCAAUCCAAUGGGAAUGACCCAGUGUAACACUGCUCAGCCUGAAUGGCACAACCCACCCCAACCUCAAUGACGCAACAUGUCCCAAGUCAACCCAACUCAUCUUGGAUGACACAGCACAGCAAGACUGGAGGAGAAUCCAGAGGACCUUCCCCUCUAAAUAGGCUGUGAACUGGUGAAAUGUGGCCAUGGUGUAGGGACCUGAGGGUCCAGGUUUUUUUUCUGGUGUAACAAGGGGUUGAGCCUCUCUGCUGCACCAGACUCUCUGCUUUCAGGACAGUUAGGACUAAAGUCACCUCUAAGCAUCUGUCUCUUCCAGUGAUAUUGGUCAGUGCUUUCAAAAGGAUUGAGGGAAUAGAGGCCAGCAGGAAAACCUGGAGAAUGCAACUGUGUUAAGAAAAUGAGCUAAAAACUGAAGCUGAACCUCCAGCGUGGCUGUGAUGCUGACUGUAGUGCGUGGCCAUCUGCAUAGCCCUUGAUCCAUAGGGUAUCGGAGCCAAGGGACAAAUGCCAGCUCCCUUCAGGCACAGCAGUGGGCUGCCCACGGGGCUGCUCAUUGCUUUGUGGCUUCACUGUUCCAGCAUUACUUCUCAGUGAGGCCAAGCUCCCACUCCCAAGAAUGCAUCAGUUAUUCGAAGGAAGGAAGGAAGGAAGCCCAAACUCGGAUGUUUGUUUGUUCUGUCCUGGCCGAUGUUCCCUUGGUCACGCUCCAGUGGCUGAUAAACUGGCAGGGAACUGGAGUGUGGAGCACAGCAGAGCCUGGGAAAGGCCGAGACCCCACUUCCCUUGGCCUUACGUCACGGUUUCUCUCUGAUGAGCUUGGCCCGGAGGCCACAUGCUGCCAGCUGCCUUCGCUCUCUCCUCGGACAGGCAGCUUCUGCCUGCUGGUGCCAAAGGGGACCAUUCUUGGGAUGUCUGCAAGGAGAGCAUCUCCCUGCAAUCCAGAUUCUCUCUGCCUAGGUGUCACCUUUGGAGCCCCUGGUGCACGGUGUGUAUAGGACCCACGGUUCACUCCUGGUUGUGGGACCUUGGAGGGGAAGAAUCCACAAGGGAUCUGGGCUGGAGUGAGAGCUGUGCUCUUCUCACAGAGCUUCACUCUCUUCAUCCAAGCAGGUCCCACUCCACGAUGGGCCUCCAGUGAUGUUUGAGGCAAGGACAGAUGCCAGGCAGAGGAAGAAGGGAUGCUUAUGGGUCGGAAUAAUCAGGAGCUCAUCCCUUGCUCCUGACACAAGCCAUUAGGUUGGAAAGUCUCCCCUUCCUCUAAGCUGGAAUGCAUGCCUACCCUGGUCCACGAGAGGCAAACAUUUAUGGGAUAUUGAAUAUAUGCCAUGGGUGAGUGAUGGGUCGGGGAGCUGGAGGCUUGGUGGUCCUCUUGCUCCCUGCGCACUGUUGAGGGAAGGGACGUGGUUCAAGGGAAAGGGAAACGUGCGAUGGAGACUUGAUCGGCUCAGGAAACUCCUGGAAAUCUUAUGGUAAGAGCAGCUUCCCAGGGAUGCUGGAGUGGCUCUGGGGGAUGUGACACGAGGCUCAGGACACGAGUCCCUGUGGGACCCCUGCAAGGUGAACAAAGAAGUUGGAGAUACUGCAGGGAGAGGCAUGGUGGAUGAUGCUGAAGCAAGAAAGCCACCAAGGACUCUCUGUUACAAAUGGAGCAUUGGCUCUCAGUGGUCUUUGCAGCAGUGAAGUGACCCUGAAGACAGCAUUUGUGCCCCCCUCCUUAGAGGAGGACAGUAAGAAAUAUGGGGGUGUUCCAUUCUCUCCCUGUAGCUCGAACUGAUGUCCUCAUGCAGGGGAGUUGAACUUCUCCCAGCCCAGGCAGUGCAGGUGGCUCCCAAAUCUCCAGCCUUUGUCUCUGCAUCUCUUUCACCUCUUGCUCAUCUGCCAUAGAGCAUUUUUUCCCAGGGCUCUCAGCAAAUUUAACAGAACCACAGAAUCCUUUAGGUUGGAAAAGACUUUUAAGGUCCAGUCCUUGACCUCACACUGCCAACUCCACCACUAAACCACGUCCUUAAGCACCACAUCCACACAGCUUUUAUGUGGUAGGGAUGGUGACUCUGCCAUUGCCCCGGGCAGCCUCUUCCAAUGCUUGACAACCCUUGCUGUGAAGAAAUGUUUCCCAAUAUCCAAUCUAAACCUCCCCUGGGCAACUUGACACCAUUUCCUCUCAUCCUGUCCUUUGUUACUUGGGAGAAGAGCCCAGCAUCCACCUCUCUCCAACCUCCUUUCUGGGAGCUGUGGAGAGCCAUGAGGUCUCCCCUCAGCCUCCUCCAGGCUAAACAGCCCCAGGUCCCUCAGCCACAACCAGAAACCCUGGGCUCCAGACCCUUCCCAGGUCCAUUCCCUUCUCUGGACAUGUUCCAACUCCUCAAUGUCUUUCCUGCACUGAGAGGCCCAAAAAGGAACCCAGGAUUCAAAUGACGUAGGGCACCAUGACAGGCAUCCUAGUCCAGCGAGGAGAACACAAGGGGCUGAGGAAGGAGGUGACUCUUAGGUGUCAUGUCCCUUGCCCUUUCAUCAGUCCCAGCAGGAGCUUGGCCUUCCCCUGCUCUGGUUCCUUUCUCCCCACCCAGUGCGUUUGGCAGAGUCUGCUCUAAGCGGUGCAGCCACUCGCUCUGGAGGAGGGUGGUGGGCAUCGGGGUCUUCCCUGUGGAGUCCUGGAGCCCCUGGUCCCCCAGCACCAUGUGGUGCAGCAACUGCUGCCCUGGCUGGCCACGGUGCCCCUUCCAGAGGAGAAUAUAAAGCUUUGAUGCUGCUAAUUGGAGCUCUUUUGCUAUGCUUCCUCCUUUCAAUCUUUGUCUGCCUGCAGCUCUGUGGGGUCAGUAAGUGAUUCGCAUUAAAGUGGAGUCUCUGUUGGUUUCCGUGCGUCUAUGACCACCAAGUUUGCCGGGGGGCUGCGAGGAGGGGGCUGCAUCAGCAGGGUGAAGCCUCCAGACCCUCUGGAGAUGCUCUAUUCAAAACUUCUCCUGCCACGCAGCUCUGCUGCCAUUCCCUGAGCACCUGGGGUCCCCCUGCUCCUUCUCUGUCUCCCCGGCCUCGCCUUGGCCCCUCUGUCUGGUGCCCCCGCCCAUAUCUGACCAGCAGCAGACAGCCAGGAUCGAUUUUCCUGCUUCAGCAAAACCCAGCUGUGAGGGGAGCAGGAGCCAGGGCUGGGCAGCAGUGACACGGGUGAUGGCAGCACUGUCGUGCUGUGAAUUGGGAGUGAGGGUGUCAGGGAGAUGGCUCAGGAGAGCAUCAUGGGUCCCUGGUUUUCUGGGAGACCUGGGUGGUUCUUCCCCCCCGUGCCCUGAGCUCCCCUGUUUCUUGAGAUCCGAUGGUGAGGAAAUGCAGCUCCUCCAUGGAAAACUGUCAGUGCGGGAGCAGGAAACCCUCUGUGCUCUUCGUUUUGGGGGCAACCAUACCUCCACUCCCUCCAAACAACCCCAGGUGGAUCUGGGCAGGCUUUCCCCAGGGAGUCUGUGAUCUACUCAAGCUCAUUCCCAGCUGAAAUGUCCCUCUGAGCUCCCUGGAGACACAGGUGUUGGGGGAGAAGCUAUGUCUAAUGUCAUGGCUAGACCAUCACCUUUCUUCCACCCUGAACUGUGAUGACCCCUGGUGAAGAUACUUUGGAUUGUAGCAUCUUGGAGAGCAGCAGCCAAUCUCCUCCAGCCAUGCCCUGGGGGUCUUCCAGCAAGUUGAGGGAGGCAAUUCUGCCCCUCUAUUCCUCUUUUGUGAGACCUUACCUGGUCCAAUUCUGGAAUCCUCAACAUAAGAAGGAUAUGGAACUGUUGGAAUGGAUCCAGAGGAGGGCUACAAAGCUGAUCUGAGGGCUGGAGCACCUCUCAUAAGAGGACAGGCUGAGAGAGUUGGGGUUGUUCAGCCUGGAGAAGAGAAGGCUCCAAGGAGACCUUAUAGAGACCUUCCAGUACCUGAAGGGGCUACAAAAAAAGCUGGGGAGGGACUUUUUCCAAAGGCCUGGAGUGAUAGGACAAGGGGCAAUGGAUAUAAAUGGGAGAGGGGAACACUUAGACUGGAUGUAAGGAGGAUAUUCUUCAUGAUGAGGGUGAGGAGGCCCUGGCCCAGGUUGCCCAGAGCAGUGGUGGCUGCCCCAUCCCUGGAAGUGUUCAAGGCCAGGUUGGAGGCCCCUGAUCCAGUGAGAGGUGUCCCUGUCCAUGGCAGGGGAUGGAAUUAGAUUGUCUUCAAGGUCCCUUCCAACUCAAACCAUUCUAUGAUUCUAUGAUGUCCCGUAGCGUGGAAGAGGGAGAGAUCCUUCCCAAAUUACUGUAGACUGAGAAAAAGCUGUUGCAGAUUUCAGAAGGGGUAAACUAAAUCAGGGACUGUGAACUGACUUAAUUUCCUCAUUUCCCUGCAUGUGUGCUUGGUGAUGUCCUCAUGAAAGCAAGAAGCUGGCCAGAGUGGGUAGAG